rnacentral:rRNA from 1 species
UCCUGGCUCAGGAUAAACGCUGGCGGCGCACAUAAGACAUGCAAGUCGAACGGACUUAACCGAAAUGUUUACAUUUUGGAGCGGUUAGUGGCGGACUGGUGAGUAACACGUAAGCAACCUGCCUAUCAGAGGGGAAUAACAGUGAGAAAUCAUUGCUAAUACCGCAUAUGCCAUGAGUAUCGCCUGAUACAAAUGGGAAAGGAGCAAUCCGCUGAUAGAUGGGCUUGCGUCUGAUUAGAUAGUUGGUGUGGUAACGGCAUACCAAGUCGACGAUCAGUAGCCGGACUGAGAGGUUGAACGGCCACAUUGGGACUGAGAUACGGCCCAGACUCCUACGGGAGGCAGCAGUCGGGAAUAUUGCACAAUGGAGGAAACUCUGAUGCAGUGACGCCGCGUGCAGGAAGAAGGUUUUCGGAUUGUAAACUGCUUUAGACAGGGAAGAGAAAGGACAGUACCUGUAGAAUAAGCUCCGGCUAACUACGUGCCAGCAGCCGCGGUAA